GUCCUCAUCGGCUAGUUGGUUUAGGCCGCUGGACCCUCACUCCGGAAACGCGGGUUCGAAUCCCGCUGGGGACA
rnacentral:tRNA from 2 species